rnacentral:tRNA from 1 species
GGAGGGUACAGCUCAGUGGCAGAGCAUGUGCUUAGCAUGCACAAGGUCCUGGGUUCAAUCCUCAGCACCUCUG